UACCAGCACCCCGAGUGGUCGGGACGAUUAUUGGGCCUAAAGCAUCCGUAGCCGGUCCUGCAAGUCUUCCGUUAAAUCCAGCUGCUCAACAGAUGGGCUGCGGGGGAUACUACAGGGCUAGGAGGCGGGAGAGGCAAGCGGUACUUUAUGGGUAGGGGUAAAAUCCGUUGAUCCAUAGAAGACCACCAGUGGCGAAGGCGGCUUGCCAAUACGCGCUCGACGGUGAGGGAUGAAAGCUGGGGGAGCAAACCGG
rnacentral:rRNA from 1 species